UCUCCGUUGGUGAACCAGCGGGGGGAUCAUUACCGAGUGCAAACUCAUAACCCUUUGUGAACCUAUAUCUGUUGCUUCGGCGGCUCGCUCUCGGGCGAGCCCGCCGGUAAUAUCAGUAUCUCUGUUUGAACCCGACGAUACUUCUGAGUGUUCUUAGCGAACAGUUAAAACUUUUAACAACGGAUCUCUUGGCUCUA
rnacentral:misc_RNA from 1 species